ensembl:lncRNA
UGACGACCCGUCUGUACACUUGUGUUUCCUUUCAAACCCCCAGGGUUGUCACCAUGUGAUGUUUAUAUGUGUGUACAUGUGACGUCAGUUUGUGACGUGUACAUUCUUCCUCCGCUGGGACACUCCAACUGCAUAUUUCACAUGAAUGUGAAACACGACCUCACUACGAUAGCAAUUAUUUGUGAGAAGACAUGAGGAGGCCAAGGGAGGAGCAGAAACAGUUAUACCCCUGGAGAUAUCGCUCUACCGGCUCAGAAGGAAGAAACUCAUACAUGUCUGAAACAACUUGAGGAUUCCACAUGUUCACAGUUGAUUUGAGGGGUGGAAUGUAUGAAGGAUCUUCAAAAUAGAGUCUUCCCUGUCCACACAGCACAUGCAGGGGUCACAACCUUUUCUUUCUUUAGUUCAUCAUUGAUGGGAACUUAUGCAAGAGCAGAGUGUAAAGUCAAAACAGACUGGGGAUGUGUGCCAGGUUUUCUCAACGUAAUUCACCAACCUGCCGCUUGCCACAUAAGAGAGAUGGCUCAUUUCCCCAGAGUGCAUUGAGGCAGACUGUAGAGCUACAGACUGUAAUUGGAAUCAUUAAAU